rnacentral:rRNA from 1 species
AUGGCCGGUCGGUUAGUGCUACUCAAUUCAGUCCUCUCGGCGUUGACCAUCUACUGGAUGACAGUGCACCACCUGUCGGCCUGGGUGCGCCGCCAUAUUGACAAGCUUCGGCGGGCUUGGUUAUGGCGUGGCCAGGAGUCGUGUCAGGGUGGCCACUGCAAGGUGGCUUGGCCUCGGAUAUGCAGGCCUCGUGACCUCGGUGGGCUGGGCAUUCUAGACCUUGAUCGUUUAGGGGCUGCCUUGCGGCUGCGAUGGCUGUGGUGGGAGCGCACGGCACCCAGCAAGCCCUGGAUUAGGCUGCCUGUGCCCUGCAAUCUGGACGAGAGGCUGCUCUUCGCCGCGGCCACUUCGGCCACUGUCAAGGAUGGACGUUUGGCAUCGUUUUGGAUGGACAGCUGGCUGCAAGGUGAGGCCCCCUUUUGA